GCAAGUCGUGCGAGAAGGUACCUUCGGGGUGCGAGUAGAGCGGNCAACGGGUGAGUAACACGUAAGUAACCUACCUCUAAAUCUGGAAUAACUCUGGCAACGCGGAGCUAAUACCGGAUGUGGUCACGAUGCUGCAUGGUAUUGUGACUAAAGGUGACCUCUCCUUGGAAGUUACCGUUUAGAGAUGGGCUUGCGGACCAUUAGCUAGUUGGUGAGGUAACGGCUCACCAAGGCUACGAUGGAUAGCCGGCCUAAGAGGGUGAUCGGCCACAUUGGGACUGAGAUACGGCCCAGACUCCUACGGGAGGCAGCAGUAGGGAAUUUUGCGCAAUGGACGAAAGUCUGACGCAGCAACGCCGCGUGAGGGAUGACGGCCUUCGGGUUGUAAACCUCUGUUGAGUGGGAAGAAAAGCUUUGUGGUUAAUAUCCACAGAGUCUGACGGUACCACUCGAGGAAGCUCCGGCUAACUACGUGCCAGCAGCCGCGGUAAUACGUAGGGGGCUAGCGUUGUUCGGAAAUCACUGGGCGUAAAGGGAGUGUAGGCGGACCGGUAAGUUAGGAGUUAAAUGUACGGGCUCAACCCGUGAUCUGCUUUUAAUACUGUCGGUCUUGAGUAUGGGAGAGGGAGAUGGAAUUCCAGGUGUAGCGGUGGAAUGCGUAGAUAUCUGGAAGAACACCAGUUGCGAAGGCGGUCUCCUGGACCAAU
rnacentral:rRNA from 1 species